rnacentral:rRNA from 2 species
ACGGGAGGCAGCAGUGGGGAAUAUUGGGCAAUGGGGGAAACCCUGACCCAGCAACGCCGCGUGAGGGAAGAAGGUUUUCGGAUUGUAAACCUCUGUCCUUAGGGACGAAGAAUUGACGGUACCUAAGGAGGAAGCUCCGGCUAACUACGUGCCAGCAGCCGCGGUAAUACGUAGGGAGCAAGCGUUGUCCGGAAUUACUGGGCGUAAAGGGUGCGUAGGCGGUUAAUUAAGUCAGAUGUGAAAUCCCCGUGCUUAACAUGGGUGUUGCAUCUGAAACUGGUUGACUUGAGUGCAGGAGAGGAAAGCGGAAUUCCUAGUGUAGCGGUGAAAUGCGUAGAUAUUAGGAGGAACACCAGUGGCGAAGGCGGCUUUCUGGACUGUAACUGACGCUGAGGCACGAAAGCGUGGGGAGCAAACAGGAUUAGAUACCCUGGUA